AUUGAACGCUGGCGGCAGGCCUAACACAUGCAAGUCGAGCGAGCGGCGGACGGGUGAGUAAUGUAUGGGGAACUGCCCGAUAGAGGGGGAUAACUACUGGAAACGGUAGCUAAUACCGCAUACUAUCGGAUGUACGCCUAUGGGAUUAGCUAGUAGGUGGGGUAAUGGCUCACCUAGGCGACGCUCCCUAGCUGGUCUGAGAGGAUGACCAGCCACACUGGAACUGAGACACGGUCCAGACUCCUACGGGAGGCAGCAGUGGGGAAUAUUGCACAAUGGGCGCAAGCCUGAUGCAGCCAUGCCGCGUGUAUGAAGAAGGCCUUCGGGUUGUAAAGUACUUUCAGCGGGGAGGCGUUACCCGCAGAAGAAGCACCGGCUAACUCCGUGCCAGCAGCCGCGGUAAUAC
rnacentral:rRNA from 1 species